AGUGAACGCUGGCGGUAGGCCUAACACAUGCAAGUCGAACGGCAGCACAGUAAGAGCCCUCGCUUACGGGGGGCGAGGGGCGGGUGGGUGAGGAGUACAUCGCAAGCUACGUUUGCGUGGUCGAUGACGUAGGGAAACAUACGCUAAUACCGCAUACGACGUACGGGGGGGGGCAUCGGACCUUCGGCUCUUGCGGGGUUGAAUGAGCCGAUGUCGGAUUAGCUAGUUGGCGGGGUAAAGGCCCACCAAGGCGACGAUCCGUAGCUGGUCUGAGAGGAUGAUCAGCCACACUGGAACUGAGACACGGUCCAGACUCCUACGGGAGGCAGCAGUGGGGAAUAUUGGACAAUGGGCGCAAGCCUGAUCCAGCCAUGCCGCGUGUGUGAAGAAGGCCUUCGGGUUGUAAAGCACUUUUGUUGGGAAAGAAAAGCAGUGGGUUAAUACCACGCUGUUAUGACGGUACCCAAAGAAUAAGCACCGGCUAACUACGUG
rnacentral:rRNA from 1 species